AUUGAACGCUGGCGGCAUGCUUUACACAUGCAAGUCGAACGGCAGCGCGGGCUUCGGCCUGGCGGCGAGUGGCGAACGGGUGAGUAAUACAUCGGAACGUGCCCAGUAGUGGGGGAUAGCUCGGCGAAAGCCGGAUUAAUACCGCAUACGACCUGCGGGUGAAAGCGGGGGAUCUUCGGACCUCGCGCUCUUGUAGCGGCCGAUGGCAGAUUAGCUAGUUGGUUGGGUAAAGGCCUACCAAGGCGACGAUCUGUAGCUGGUCUGAGAGGACGACCGGCCACACUGGGACUGAGACACGGCCCAGACUCCUACGGGAGGCAGCAGUGGGGAAUUUUGGACAAUGGGCGAAAGCCUGAUCCAGCAAUGCCGCGUGUGUGAUGAAGGCCUUCGGGUUGUAAAGCACUUUUGGCGGGAACGAAAAGGACUGUGCCAAUACCACGGUUCGAUGACGGUACCCGCAGAAUAAGCACCGGCUAACUACGUG
rnacentral:rRNA from 1 species